rnacentral:tRNA from 1 species
UCCCUGAUGGUCCAGUGGUUAGGGCUCUGCACUUCCACUGCAGGGGACACAGGUUUGAUCCCUGGUCAGGAAC